ACAAGUUAAAAGAGUUUAUAUAAAAAUAAAACAAAAACCCAAACACACACACUGGUGUGUAUGUUGGUGUCGACAGGAGCAAGAGAGGGAGAAAGGAAACCCUCUAACAUAACAAAAUCUGUAAGAUUAGAAGGAAAUUGAAGCUUGUUUGUAUGCAUGGAUCAAGAAUUAUGAUCAUCUAAGUGUUCUUAUCAUCAAGAAUUAUGUCGAGACGGAAUCAAGCACGGAAGGCUAAUAGGUCAAGAAGUGGCGAGGAAACGAGUAUGAACAUGGACGCACAAGGUUGUACGGAUAACGGGCGAUUAUCACAAGGAUUAGAGAUCGAAGACCGAGUCACAAGAUAGAUUGUACGGGAAUAAUUGAGUAUGUACUAUUAGUAAACAGGACUUAUGCUUUAUCUUUGUAAAAGAUACAUAUUAAAACGAACUUUCAAGUAAGUCAAGACGUUUGUAAUGAAAG